CCUACGGGAGGCAGCAGUGGGGGAUAUUGCACAAUGGGGGAAACCCUGAUGCAGCGACGCCGCGUGGGUGAAGAAGCGCCUCGGCGCGUAAAGCCCUGUCAGCAGGGAAGAAAAUGACGGUACCUGAAGAAGAAGCCACGGCCAACUACGUGCCAGCAGGCGCGGUAAUACGGAGGGGGCGAGCGUUAUACGGAUUGACUGGGUGGAAAGGGGGCGCAGACGGCAAUGCAAGCCAGGAGUGAAAGCCCGGGGCCCAACCCCGGGACUGCUCUUGGAACUGGGUGGCUAGAGUGCAGGAGGGGCAGGCGGAAUUCCUGGUGGAGCGGUGAAAUGCGUAGAUAUCAGGAGGAACACCGGUGGCGAAGGCGGCCUGCUGGACUGCAACUGACGUUGAGGCGCGAAAGCGUGGGGAGCAAACAGGAUUAGAUACCCGAGUAGUC
rnacentral:rRNA from 1 species